rnacentral:tRNA from 1 species
AUAAUAAAAGAGGAAAGCCUCAUAAUUAGUUUUACAGACUAAUGCUGUUUCAGCCAUUUUAU